CACGUAGGCGGAUUGGUAAGUCAGAUGUGAAAUCCCGGAGCUCAACUCCGGAACUGCAUUUGAUACUGCCAGUCUUGAGUGAGGUAGAGGGGGGUGGAAUUCCCGGUGCAGAGGUGAAAUUCGUAGAUAUCGGGAGGAACACCAGAGGCGAAGGCGACCCCCUGGGCCUCUACUGACGCUGAGGUGCGAAAGCGUGGGGAGCAAACAG
rnacentral:rRNA from 1 species